CUACUUUCACAGUUUCCCUUGCUCUAACAAUCAAAUCAAAUCAAAACUAGCUACAGCAUACAGCAGAGAAUAAAUCUUAGAUCCUCUGGUGUAGCUAUAUAUAUAAAAAGGAAACAGUUAUUCACUGAGAUUGAACAUCGAAGUACGUGGUAUAUUUUUCUCUCGAAAUGAGCAAAAAGCUUGCAUUUUCUGAACUUGACUGUUUGUCGUCUUCAUCAACUUUUGGAUUAACCUAAGAACCCUAAUUUUAGAGUGAACUGGCUACUUCCAUUGAUUCCACUCAGAAUGUGCUUGCAUGUUAUCGGAUAUGGCAUUUUGUUUCAUUGGGAAAACCAAAAUUAGUAAUAACUUAUCGAGAUGCCAACCUUUUGUUUGUUUUUUUCUUAAUUUGCAUGUUAUGUACGUAAACGUUGAUGAAAUUACACUUGUACAAUAAUUUGCCCAUCGCAUAAUUAAUAUAAUUAAUCAAAUUAACAUACUAAUUACACUGUUAUUAAGACCUAAUUAAUGCUAUUGGGCCAAUUAUAGAAUGAAGUCCAGACAGCAUGAUGGGCCAAUUAAAGAAUGAAGUCCAGACAGCAUGAUGGGCCAAUUAGGGAGUCAGCCCAAUAGCACACAAACAAUAGUUGAUCGAUUAGUUAAUCAAGUUGUAUUGGUGGUUAAAUACUCUGAGGUAGAACCACUCGAAGAAGGAAGCCGUUGGAGAGUCGGGUGAGCUAGGUCCUAUGACCGCUGGAAGUUCGUCUGACCUAUUAGACCUCAAAGCACGAGGGGGUUAUGGAUGCAUGGGGGAAGUACUGAUGAUAUCCCCAAUUCAGCUAACAUCUGGUGACAUAUCAAUUCAAACCCACAAGGCUCAAGAGAGGGAGCGGUUCGGAAGGCCCACAUGAUGACUACUAUAUAUAUAUCCUCAAAGGUUAGGGUUGAGGGGGAGAUUUUUGGCUAUCUUAAGGAAAUUACGAGAUACCAGAGAGUGGAGACUGGCGAUCGACUAAGCCUUCGACCUUGGGAGAUCGCCAAAGUAUCAGAAAUGGCUUGAUUAGUGCAGCUCGUGCCCAAAAGGUCUUAGAAGGACAUGUCUAGUCCAGUCCAGUCCAGUCAGUCAGACACCACUAUAUCUAAGGAUGCAAAAAAAUUUGGUAUUCGACGAGCUGUUCGGUUCGGGUUUGAUUCAGUUAGCUAAACCAAUCAAACUCAAACCUUAAACACCCAUUCGAGGAAAGAUAGAAAGGGGAUGAGAUUAAGGAUGAAAUUUUCUCAAUUAAAAUGAGAAAGAAAUAAUAAUCUAAAUAAUAUAAUAUAUAUUAAAAUUUAAAGUCAAACAAUUCUUUCUCACUCUUUCAUUUUGGGCUUCUGAUGUGCGGGAAACAACCUGCUUAAUCCGACGAAAAAGACCAAUCGGAAAACGUCCAUCAAAGAUCCGAUCUUUCUCCAAAUACCCACACUUUCUCCCCUCCCUACUCUCUACAUUCGACGAUCUUGAUGCUCGCAGUAGGUAAUCUCUCCUCCGGUACUCCCCAAUUUUGUCGGAUUUUGCAGUUGCCAACUUUAUUGUUCAUGUGGUCGAAUUUUAUUUUGGGUUUUUUUAAUACCCAAUCCAAAUUUCUAAUCUUCCAGCAAUUUCAAAUCUUGCAUAGUUUAGAUUGAAGAAGGUUCAUACUCCUUACUACCACGGCAGUCUACCACACCAGGUAUUUCUCCCCCCCUUUUCAUCUUAUUCCUUACUAAACUUUAAAACUUAAGAUAAAAUAUCUUUUUUGCUUGUUUUGGUUGCUUUUCAUCUUAUUCUUUUCUUGACAAAAACAGGCAAUCUAGGUGUUUGAUAAUAUGUCCAGAUUGUAGUUAGAUGUUUUACACAAUGUCAAUAUCAUGUAUUCUUUCUGGAAACUUCCAUCACAUGAAGAAUGGUAUCGGAAACCGAGGCUGGAUCCGAGCUGCCGGUACUAAUUUUGGAAAUAUUAGGUCUAUUGGAAGCUGUGAAUUUAAGCCAAUAACAAUGGAAAGCCAAGCUAGCAACACCGCCAAUACUAACAGCAAGCCUAGCGAUUUUAAUACGAAGGCUGCAAUAGAUCAUAAAUGGAAAUCCUCGAAUGGUGCAUCAGUUUCUGAAUGGAAAACUAUCCAACGUUUAACGCCUGACCGUAAGAAAUUUGAUUGGCCUGCCGUCGUAAUUGUUUUUGAUAUUGAAACUACAGGAUUCAGCCAUAGCAGAGAUCGGAUAAUUGAAGUUGCAUUUAGGGAUCUUGUUGGUGGUAAAAAGAGCACUUUUCACACACUAGUAAAUCCCGAAAAAGUCAUAACCAAUGCUAAUGUUCAUGGUAUCAGGACCGACAUGGUUAGCAAACCUGAUAUUCCCAGGUAAUUAAAGUAAUCAAUGUAUAUAUGCAUACAUAAUUGUAAAACAUGAAGUAUACAAUUGUUUUCUUCUUCUUUUGUACUGCUUCUUUUCUAUAGGAUGAAGGAUCUAAUACCGAUAAUGUUGAAAUUCGUGGAGAGUCGAAAGUUGGAUGGAAAACCUGUGGUGUUCAUAGCACACAAUGGGCGGACAUUUGAUGUUCCAUUUUUUAUCAGGGAAUUCAAAAGGUGUUCCUUUGAAAUCCCUUCAGAUUGGCUUUUCGUGGAUACACUCCCUCUUGCUCGCAAAUUGGUGAAGCCAGACGGUAUUUAUUUGCUUUGCUAGUUAAUCAUACCCAACCUUUCAUAGACAUUUAUCGAUUUUCUAUAUAUUUUUUGUGCAGGUUCUAAAUCGCUGCAUGCACUGCAACAACAUUACGAGAUUCAAUUAUCCGGGCCAUCACACAGAGCGAUGCAGGAUGUAAAUAUACUAUCUAUGAUUCUUCAGAAGAUAUCUUUCGAGUUGAAACUAUCAGUUGCUGACCUCGUUAAAUAUGCCUUCAAGGCUUCAGACAUCACCACUAAACACCAACCUCCUCGCACCACCACCACCACUAAUAGUAGAAAAAGUAGCAAUUCUUGAGCAGAAGAUUAUAUUCCAAAUAUUCUAUUAAUUUAACUAAUUUCGAUAUUUAGAAUCAUGUUAUUUGAAGCAAAUCAUGAUUUUAAUUAUCCACCAUUACUCUUAGAUUUCUAAUGUUUAUAUAACUUGUAUGAUUUAUUACAGAAAAGUUUCUAGAAAUAACAAGCUCGAUCACAAGAACAAGAAGUCAAUUUAAUAUUCGAACCAGGUAGGGGGGAGGAUUUGAAAAAUUUAACAGAAGGUACCUUAUUACAAGUGUAAAAAUGUGUUAUCUCUUAAUGAUCUAUAUCAGAGUCAUAUACUAUAUCUUUCGUGCUCCGGCGAGUGAGGCCUAAGGAGAGACGUGCCAUUUCAUAUAACGGCUGUACGUUUAAAUAACGACAUGCCAGCAUGACUUCAUUAAGAUCCUCCUUACUCAAGCUGUAAAUGAAAUCAAUGUCCCAUUGCCUGAGAUCAUCAUAUCUCCAGCUAGUACCUUUCUUGCCUGUCAUGCAAUGCUUGCUACAAUAAGCCAUGAUUUUGGAUAAUAUGAAACUGGAAACUUUUGUAAAAGACAUGGAAUCAUACUCUUUGUCAAAGUUUUCAUCGAGCAAUCUUUUCAAAACUACUGGAGUUCCCAUAUCAUUAUCUGAAAAUGUGAAAAAUUUACCAUCCUUACACAACACAGUUACCAUUCUUAAAGAAGCAUAAGAAGAAGGAGAAGAAAAAGGGACAGAAGACGACAUAUCUGAUAAUCUGAAAGGUUAGGUUUUCUGAAUGAAAAUUGGAUGGUUC
rnacentral:lncRNA from 1 species